rnacentral:rRNA from 1 species
UAAUACGUAGGUGACAAGCGUUAUCCGGAUUUAUUGGGCGUAAAGCGCACGCAGGCGGUCUUUCAAGUCUGACGUGAAAUCUCUCGGCUUAACCGGGAGCGGUCGUUGGAAACUGAAGGACUUGAGGCGAUGAGAGGGGUGUGGAAUUCCCGGUGUAGUGGUGGAAUGCGUAGAUAUCGGGGGGAACAUCAGUGGCGAAAGCGGCACCCUGGCAUUAGCCUGACGCUCAUGUGCGAAAGCGUGGGGAGCGAACGGGAUUAGAUACCCCGGUAGUCCACGCUGUAAACGAUGAAUACUAGGUGUGGGUAGUCUCAAAAUUAUCCGUGCCGAAGCAAACGCGAUAAGUAUUCCGCCUGGGGAGUACGGCCGCAAGGCUA